UGACCUGCGGAAGGAUCAUUACCGAGUGAGGGCCCUCUGGGUCCAACCUCCCACCCGUGUUUAUUUUACCUUGUUGCUUCGGCGGGCCCGCCUUAACUGGCCGCCGGGGGGCUCACGCCCCCGGGCCCGCGCCCGCCGAAGACACCCUCGAACUCUGUCUGAAGAUUGAAGUCUGAGUGAAAAUAUAAAUUAUUUAAAACUUUCAACAACGGAUCUCUUGGUUCCGGCAUCGAUGAAGAACGCAGCGAAAUGCGAUACGUAAUGUGAAUUGCAAAUUCAGUGAAUCAUCGAGUCUUUGAACGCACAUUGCGCCCCCUGGUAUUCCGGGGGGCAUGCCUGUCCGAGCGUCAUUGCUGCCCUCAAGCCCGGCUUGUGUGUUGGGCCCCGUCCUCCGAUUUCCGGGGGACGGGCCCGAAAGGCAGCGGCGGCACCGCGUCCGGUCCUCGAGCGUAUGGGGCUUUGUCACCCGCUCUGUAGGCCCGGCCGGCGCUUGCCGAUCAACCCAAAUUUUUAUCCAGGUUGACCUCGGAUCAGGUAGGGAUACCCGCUGAACUUAAGCAUAUCAAUAA
rnacentral:rRNA from 1 species